UACGUAGGUGGCUAGCGUUGUCCGGAUUUACUGGGCGUAAAGCGCGCGCAGGCGGUCGUUCAAGUCGAGUGUGAAAGCCCCCGGCUCAACUGGGGAGGGUCACUCGAUACUGAUCGACUUGAAGGCAGAAGAGGGAAGCGGAAUUCCCGGUGUAGUGGUGAAAUGCGUAGAUAUCGGGAGGAACACCAGUGGCGAAGGCGGCUUUCUGGUCUGUUCUUGACGCUGAGGCGCGAAAGCUAGGGUAGCAAACGGG
rnacentral:rRNA from 1 species